ACUCCUACGGGAGGCAGCAGUGAGGAAUAUUGGUCAAUGGUCGCAAGACUGAACCAGCCAUGCCGCGUGCAGGAAGACGGUCCUAUGGAUUGUAAACUGCUUUUUAUACAGGAAGAAACCCUCCCACGUGUGGGAGCUUGACGGUACUGUAGGAAUAAGGAUCGGCUAACUCCGUGCCAGCAGCCGCGGUAAUACGGAGGAUCCAAGCGUUAUCCGGAAUCAUUGGGUUUAAAGGGUCCGUAGGCGGCCUUAUAAGUCAGUGGUGAAAGCCCAUCGCUCAACGAUGGAACUGCCAUUGAUACUGUAAGGGCUUGAAUUAUUGUGAAGUAACUAGAAUAUGUAGUGUAGCGGUGAAAUGCUUAGAUAUUACAUGGAAUACCAAUUGCGAAGGCAGGUUACUAACAAUGGAUUGACGCUGAUGGACGAAAGCGUGGGAGCGAACAGGAUUAGAUACCCCUGGUAGGAUAGCG
rnacentral:rRNA from 1 species